rnacentral:rRNA from 1 species
GACGAACGCUGGCGGCGUGCUUAACACAUGCAAGUCGAACGGUAAGGCCCUUCGGGGUACACGAGUGGCGAACGGGUGAGUAACACGUGGGUGAUCUGCCCUGCACUUCGGGAUAAGCCUGGGAAACUGGGUCUAAUACCGGAUAGGACUCCUGGCUUCAUGGUUGGGGGUGGAAAGCUUUUGCGGUGUGGGAUGGGCCCGCGGCCUAUCAGCUUGUUGGUGGGGUAAUGGCCUACCAAGGCGACGACGGGUAGCCGGCCUGAGAGGGUGACCGGUCACACUGGGACUGAGAUACGGCCCAGACUCCUACGGGAGGCAGCAGUGGGGAAUAUUGCACAAUGGGCGCAAGCCUGAUGCAGCGACGCCGCGUGAGGGAUGACGGCCUUCGGGUUAUAAACCUCUUUCAGCUAUGACGAAGCGCAAGUGACGGUAGUAGCAGAAGAAGGACCGGCCAACUACGUGCCAGCAGCCGCCGCAG